UAUGGAAUGCACAACUAAAAAGCACGAAAGAAAGCAGGCAACAAACAACCCCAUCAGCUCUGCUCAGAAGCAAGCAAGGAAGACUAUCGUUACGAGACUACCACGAAGAAUUGACGUUAGUUAUCAUCAAAAUGAAGAGAAAACGGGACAUUAUGUCCUAUACAUUAAGUCCACAAUGAUGAGGCAGACAACGAGGCAGAGCCAGGUGGGCCAGGUGUUGAGAGAGCUACAGAGAAACAGCAGCAUGUGGAGAGUGCCACACAGAGAAAGCCAGAGGACAUGUUAGGUGGAGAGACUCGUUUUCAAAGUGAGGGCACAGAGCAGGAAGGAGAGACCACUGAGGAGCCAGAAAGUGAGGCUGAGGGUGACAUACAAGCAGAGUGUGAGACACAGACAGAGGAUACAUCGUAUGCACCCACAAGCUCUGUACCACCAGAUAUUAACAAAUGUAAAGAAGACCCACCAAUGCAGCCAAACUUGAAACUGUUUCCAAGAACCUUGAUGGGGGACAGGCGGAGGAGCUUCAAAGUAGCCUGGAAUAUUCACCCAUGGCUUGAAUAUUCAAAACUAUCGGACUCUGCAUAUUCUCCGCCGAUAAGUGCAGAAACAGUAUUUGACUCACCCUCUGGAUUCAAAAACUGGAAGAAGGCAACCUACAGAGAGGGGGGGUUGCUAUCCAUGCAAAGUCUGAGCGGCACAAACAAGCAAUGAUCACAUGGAGGGACUAUCAGAGAGCGGCGACAACUAAUGCAACUUUGGCAAAUGUCCUAAAUAAGGAACAUAACAAACUGGUUAAAGAAAUAUCGAGAAUAUAUAAAAGCAAUAGGAGAAGUGCUCCUACUGACAGCAAGACAAAACAUUGCUUAAAGAGGACACAAUGAGUCUGCAGACUCUGAUAAUAAAGGGAACUUCAUGGCAAUUCUAGAGACUGUUGCAAACCAUGACAAAGUUGUUAAGAAAAGGUUGUCUAAUGCAAAGUACACAAGCAAAAUCAUUCAGAAUGAGGUUCUUAAUUGUCUGGCAGAAAUGGUUCGAACUGAAAUUACACAAGAAGUGAAAAACAGUGAAGUCUUCAGCAUCAUGGCAGAUGAAACAAAAGAUGUAAAAAAACAAUAACAGAUUUCAUUAGUACUCACGUACUAUUUUAAUGGAGCUAUCAAGGAGAGUUUUCUUCAUUUUGAAUCUGCUGAGAAGCUAGAUGCAGAAGGGCUUACUGAAAAAAUAAUCCACAUUUUGGAAAGACACAAACUAGAAUACAAGAAAAACUAUAUAAUAAAACUACAUGUGUUAGACUGCC